rnacentral:rRNA from 1 species
GAUGAACGCUGGCGGCGUGCCUACUAUAUGCAAGUCGAGCGAACGGACGAGAAGCUUGCUUCUCUGAUGUUAGCGGCGGACGGGUGAGUAACACGUGGAUAACCUACCUAUAAGACUGGGAUAACUUCGGGAAACCGGAGCUAAUACCGGAUAAUAUUUUGAACCGCAUGGUUCAAAAGUGAAAGACGGUCUUGCUGUCACUUAUAGAUGGAUCCGCGCUGCAUUAGCUAGUUGGUAAGGUAACGGCUUACCAAGGCAACGAUGCAUAGCCGACCUGAGAGGGUGAUCGGCCACACUGGAACUGAGACACGGUCCAGACUCCUACGGGAGGCAGCAGUAGGGAAUCUUCCGCAAUGGGCGAAAGCCUGACGGAGCAACGCCGCGUGAGUGAUGAAGGUCUUCGGAUCGUAAAACUCUGUUAUUAGGGAAGAACAUAUGUGUAAGUAACUGUGCACAUCUUGACGGUACCUAAUCAGAAAGCCACGGCUAACUACGUGCCAGCAGCCGCGGUAAUACGUAGGUGGCAAGCGUUAUCCGGAAUUAUUGGGCGUAAAGCGCGCGUAGGCGGUUUUUUAAGUCUGAUGUGAAAGCCCACGGCUCAACCGUGGAGGGUCAUUGGAAACUGGAAAACUUGAGUGCAGAAGAGGAAAGUGGAAUUCCAUGUGUAGCGGUGAAAUGCGCAGAGAUAUGGAGGAACACCAGUGGCGAAGGCGACUUUCUGGUCUGUAACUGACGCUGAUGUGCGAAAGCGUGGGGAUCAAACAGGAUUAGAUACCCUGGUAGUCCACGCCGUAAACGAUGAGUGCUAAGUGUUAGGGGGUUUCCGCCCCUUAGUGCUGCAGCUAACGCAUUAAGCACUCCGCCUGGGGAGUACGACCCGCAGGUUG